GACGAACGCUGGCGGCGUGCCUAAUACAUGCAAGUCGAACGAGAGCGACCGGUGCUUGCACUGGUCAAUCUAGUGGCGAACGGGUGAGUAACACGUGGGUAACCUGCCCAUCAGAGGGGGAUAACAUCCGGAAACGGAUGCUAAAACCGCAUAGGUCUUCGAGCCGCAUGGCUUGAAGAGGAAAAGAGGCGCAAGCUUCUGCUGAUGGAUGGACCCGCGGUGCAUUAGCUAGUUGGCGAGGUAACGGCUCACCAAGGCCGUGAUGCAUAGCCGACCUGAGAGGGUGAUCGGCCACAUUGGGACUGAGACACGGCCCAAACUCCUACGGGAGGCAGCAGUAGGGAAUCUUCCGCAAUGGACGCAAGUCUGACGGAGCAACGCCGCGUGAGUGAAGAAGGUUUUCGGAUCGUAAAACUCUGUUGUUAGAGAAGAACAAGUGCUAGAGUAACUGUUAGCGCCUUGACGGUAUCUAACCAGAAAGCCACGGCUAACUACGUG
rnacentral:rRNA from 1 species